GAAGCGAAUAACGCAUUGCUUCAUGGAUCUUAGGUGGGUCUUUUACCAUUAUAGCCUCAUCCAAAGCUUUAUUUACACAAAUCGCCUUUUCAGCUACGUAAACCUUGAAAUUAAAUUCUUCUUUUUCCAUAACAACUUUCUCAUUGGUAGCAAUAGCUGAAACAGUUACAGAUGAAAAUGUUCUAUAAGAUAAACUCUGUUGCAAAAUUUUUCGAUUUUUCGAAUUGAUUUUCA
rnacentral:misc_RNA from 1 species